CCCUUAGAUUUUCUGGGCUGCACGCGCGCUACACUGAAGCUAUCAACACGUUUUCCCUCCCUGAGAAGGGCGGGUAACCUUUUGAAUCAGCUUCGUGGUAGGGAUCGGGGCUUGCAAUUGUUCCCCGUGAACCAGGAAUUCCUAGUAGACGCGAGUCAUAAGCUCGCAUCGAUUAAGUCCCUGCCCUUUGUACACACCGCCCGUCGCUACUACCGAUUGAACGUUUUAGUGAGGCAUUUGGACCGACGCAUCUCAGUUUAACCGCUGGUUUGUGUUGGAAAGACUUCCAAACUUGAGCGUUUAGAGGAAGUAAAAGUCGUAACA
rnacentral:rRNA from 1 species